CAAUAGCGUAUAUUAAAGUUGUUGCAGUUAAAAAGCUCGUAGUUGGACUUCUGGCACGCUGCGCCUGGCCCGCCCGCGUUAGCGGUGUGAGUGCCGGUUGCGCGGUUGCCAUCCUUCUAGAAAACAGGCCUGCCCUUCACUGGGUUGGGUCUGCGAUCUAGAUCGUUUACUUUGAAAAAUUAGAGUGUUUAAAGCAGGCAAUUGCUGUGAAUACAUUAGCAUGGAAUAAUAAUAUAGGACUUAGGUUCUAUUUUGUUGGUUUCUAGGACUUAAGUAAUGAUUGAUAGGGAUAGUUGGGGGUGCUAGUAUUGAGAUGCCAGAGGUGAAAUUCUUGGAUUAUCUCAAGACUAACUUAUGCGAAAGCAUUCACCAAGGAUGUCUUCUUUAAUCAAGAACGAAAGUUGGGGGAUCGAAGAUGAUUAGAUACCGU
rnacentral:rRNA from 1 species